rnacentral:rRNA from 1 species
GCGGCCUAUCAGCUUGUUGGUGAGGUAAUGGCUCACCAAGGCGACGACGGGUAGCCGGCCUGAGAGGGCGACCGGCCACACUGGGACUGAGACACGGCCCAGACUCCUACGGGAGGCAGCAGUGGGGAAUAUUGGGCAAUGGAGGAAACUCUGACCCAGCGACGCCGCGUGAGGGAUGAAGGCCUUCGGGUUGUAAACCUCUUUCAGUAGGGAAGAAGCGAAAGUGACGGUACCUACAGAAGAAGCACCGGCUAACUAUGUGCCAGCAGCCGCGGUAAUACAUAGGGUGCAAGCGUUGUCCGGAAUUAUUGGGCGUAAAGAGCUCGUAGGUGGUUCGAUACGUCGGAUGUGAAAAUCUGGGGCUUAACCCCAGACCUGCAUUCGAUACGGGCGAGCUAGAGUGUGGUAGGGGAGACUGGAAUUCCU